rnacentral:rRNA from 1 species
GACGAGGGGUCCUAGCGUUGUUCGGAAUCACUGGGCGUAAAGCGUAUGUAGGCGGCCUUUUAAGUCGAUUGUGAAAUCCCAUGGCUUAACCAUGGAAUUGCAUUCGAAACUGAAGGGCUUGAGUGUGGGAGAGAUUGGUAGAAUACCUGGUGUAGUGGUGAAAUACGUAGAUAUCAGGUGGAAUACCGGUGGCGAAGGCGGCCAAUGGCCCAACUACGUCGAACACGCAUG